GAUCAUGGCUCAGGAUGAACGCUGGCGGCGUGCCUAACACAUGCAAGUCGAGCGAUCUUCUUCGGAAGAGAGCGGCGGACGGGUGAGUAACGCGUGGGUAACCUGCCCUGUACACACGGAUAACAUACCGAAAGGUAUGCUAAUACGGGAUAACAUAAGAAAAUCGCAUGGCUUUCUUAUCAAAGCUCUGGCGGUACAGGAUGGACCCGCGUCUGAUUAGCUAGUUGGUAAGGUAACGGCUU
rnacentral:rRNA from 1 species